rfam:Ascoidea rubescens DSM 1968 unplaced genomic scaffold ASCRTscaffold_1, whole genome shotgun sequence.
GACACAAUGGCCGAGUGGUUAAGGCGAAAGACUCGAAUUCCGAGACAUCUUUUGGGUUCUCCCGCGCAGGUUCAAAUCCUGCUUGUGUCG